rnacentral:rRNA from 1 species
UACGUAGGGUGCAAGCGUUGUCCGGAAUUAUUGGGCGUAAAGAGCUCGUAGGCGGUUUGUCGCGUCGAAUGUGAAAACCCGGGGGCUCAACCCCCGGGCCUGCAUUCGAUACGGGCAGACUAGAGUUCGGUAGGGGAGUCUGGAAUUCCUGGUGUAGCGGUGAAAUGCGCAGAUAUCAGGAGGAACACCGGUGGCGAAGGCGGGACUCUGGGCCGAUACUGACGCUGAGGAGCGAAAGCGUGGGGAGCAAACAGG